rnacentral:snRNA from 1 species
GUGCUCAUUUUGACGGCAUAUAUACCAGAACUGGAAUAAUACAGCAGAGAUUAACACAACCCCGAGCAAGGGGGACAUGCAAAAUUGUGAAGUUGCUUUUUUGCUU